AGACUUCGCUGCAGAAGCGGACUAACUACCCCGGAGGUGCUCACUAAAGCUCCCGCGCACCGCUGUUCACGCUGAAUGCUUUAAAGUACCGGAGCAGCCCGGGAACAGCACGGUGCGCAGGCGCUACGCCGGGGCGGCCGGGCCACUGCGCACGCGCCCGCUCUCCCAAGCGGAAAGGACAGGGCCCGGCGGGGCAGGGUGUGGGGGUUGCUGCUGGGUCUGCGCUCUCGACUCUCCUGCGGCCGCUGCGCCACGGCUGAACCGGGUGCGGGUGGUGAUGGAGUCUGGUGAUACCAGUGCCCCGAGACCGCACUGUGUACUCGCUCGUGCCUGUCAGAGGAGAGGCAACCCCACCCUCAAGGCCUGUGAGGCCGCCGAAAAAUCCGACGGCUUGCACAAGUGACGGGCAUGUAGCGCCAGGGUCCCGGCUCAGGCAGGCGGAGGGCGGGGCGUCCCAAUCCAGCCCGCGUCCCCGACGCAAGGCCCGGAGGACGGUGUGGGGGCGAUGCUCGCCUCGGCGAACUCGCUAGCGAUCGGCAGUCCUCGGUGGCCACUAGGGCGCGGAGCUCUUGGGGGCGGGGACCGCGCUGCCGCGAGCCCGGCGCUCUAGCGUCAGCCUCAGCGCACCCCGCGUUACCCGGCAACCCACACCCGCCCGGGCGGUCCUGCUGCCCUCGGUCUGAGCAACUUCAGUGCUGGCUAAUCAGACGACACCAUCCUCGGGUUGCUGAUCUUUCUGGAAAGUUUUAACUGUGGAGGAGAAAGGAAACGUCUUAGCUUUAGAAGCUAGGCCUGCCUUGAGGGAGUGGCAGACAGGUUGAGAGGCCUGGAUUUCUACGAAGUAGAGAGGAGGCCGGAGGAACAUAACAGGUCCUGAGGGCUUCUGAACCCCAACCAGGUCAGCCCAGAACGGCUGCACCCAACACGUCCCUUGGAAGGGAAGAAGCGGAGGAGCUUCAAGAUGGUGGAAGAGUAAGACGUGGAGAUCACCUUCCUCCCCACAAAUACAUCAAAAAUACAUCUACAUGUGGAACAACUCCUUCAGAACACCUACUGAACGCUGGCAGAAGACCUCAGACCUCCCAAAAGGCAAGAAACUCCCCAUGUACCUGGGUAGGGCAAACGAAAAAAGAAAAAACAGAGACAAAAGAAUAGGGACGGGACCUGCACCAGUGGGAGGGAGCUGUGAAGGAGGAAAGGUUUCCACACACUAGAAGCCCCUUCGUGGGCAGAGACUGCAGGUGGUAGAGCGGGUAAGCUUCGGAGCCAUGGAGGAGAGUGCAGCAACAGGGGUGUGGAGGGCAAAGCGGAGAGAUUCCCGCACAGAGGAUCGGUGCCGACCAGCACUCACCAGCCUGAGAGGCUUGUCUGCUCACCUGCCGGGGCGGGCUGGGGCUGGGAGCUGAGGCUUGGGCUUCAGAGGUCAGACCCCAGGGAGAGGACUGGGGUUGGCUGCGUGAACACAGCCUGAAGGGGGCUAGUGUGCCACAGCUAGCUGAGAGGGAGUCUGGGAAAAGGUCUGAAGCUGCCAAAGAGACAAGAGACUUUUUCUUACCUCUUUGUUUCCUGGUGCGCGAGGAGAGGGGAUUAAGAGCGCCACUUAAAGGAGCUCCAGAGACGGGUGCGAGCCGCGGCUAUCAGCGCGGACACCAGAGACUGGCAUGAG